CAAUAGCUGUCUCAGGCGAGAACGCAACAUUCCCGGCCAUCUCUAAGGGGCAGAUCCAGAAAAAUAGCUGAGUGGGGGCGAAGUUCAAAUGAUUUGAAAAUGUCCAUAACAAAGGUUUUCAUUUGAUGCAGUAAAUAUUAUACAGAAUAUUUUGUUUUUCCUUUCUAGUUUCCUUGUUCACACAAUACAUCCAAUCACAUGAUCAUUGAUCACAAAACCAUAAUCAUCAAAAGCUAUUGAAAAGAAACCAGAAAAUGGGCUUUAAAAGAGUAAAAAAUGCUCAUGAACAAAUAGAGAAACAACAAUCUGUAAAUUAGGCAAUUUAGGCUACUAGAAUACUGGAAUUUAGGCUAUUGGAAUAGUGAAAUCAACAUUAAAUAUAUGGAGUAUUUAAUUUAAUUAGUAUUCUAAUUGGGAGUACCAUAUGCAGUAUAUUAACAGCAGUACAACAUACAUGGACCAAAUUUGAGAAUAUAUAGUAAAUAUACAAAGAUUAUACAAAAAUUGAUAAAAAUUGGGGAAAUAUACAUUACAUAUUCACAUAUAUGAACAAUAUACAGAGAAUACAUAAAAAAAUGUUGAGGAUUGAAGAUUUAGGGAAUUUAUGGAUUUAGUGUUAACUAAUUAAGAGAAUAAGGUUGAAAAUUGGUUCGAACCUGAGCAUUUGCAAGUUGUUGCUGACUUGCCAGAGACCUGGAGUGCCAGAUGACUGGACGACGGUCGGACGGUGGUCCCUGAGAAUCUGAGAUGUCUAAGUUGCUGAGAAUUUGGGAUGAGCAGAGAAGAUGAGCUGUGGGUCGUGGCUGCAGCAGUGCGUAGUAGCAGAGGAGCCCAGGAGGAAGUCAUGAACUAAGGUAGAAGAAUGAAGAUGAGUGGGGGCAGCUGCCCCCAUGGUGGAUCCGCCACUGCUCUUCUUAUUACCUUCAACAAUUAGUUCUGGGAAACAAGGAUCAUCAUGGUUGAGUAGCUGUUUACAACUUUUUAUACUGAACAAGGAAGCGCACAAUGGGUGUUUUAUAACUCAGUUCUUUGCACAUUUUUUAAGUCUAUCAAAUGCUCAGUAUAGUUUUGAAUAUGAUGAAGUUCAAGAUAUAUACAAAUGAAUGUAAACCAGUUAAUUGAUCUGAUUCAAUUCAGAAAAUUGAACAAGCAUAUGUCCACUUGAUGCUUUACCGGUGUAGUAUUUACUAGCCUUUUCUGCUGUUUGGGACUGAAUUUGUUGUGCAUAGAUCUCUAGUUUCUUUAUACCUUUAGUUUAAGCUUGCUGAGGAAUUGUUUUUGUAAAUUUCAUUUUCUAUUUGUUUGUUGCAAUUGAGGACGUCAUCAUAUAACCUAGUCUAUGUAAUUGUAUUGUUUAUAACUUCCAAAAAAAGUGGAAUAUUUGUUAACUCUUUCUUGCUUAACUUUCUUUCAGUUGAAAAGGACACCUUAAUAUCCUAGGAGAAAGGAGGAGAAGAAAUAGAAAAGAGUGGAUCUCCUUUUGUUUCUUUUUCCUCACCGUUUGUGUGUGUGUGUGUGUGUGUCCAUGAUGGCAGCAUCUGAUGUGACAUAAGGACUAGCGCAUAUUUUCAGCUCACGGAGCAUACUAAUUUUUAUAAAUUUGUUAUUCUGACUAUUUGGGAGAUCAUGCAUGUCUUUCAGCUUCUCUCUGAUGCCUGAUACUUUUCUUUUUCUUCUACCAUUACACUUUUCUCAUUAUUUCUUGUGUGGAUGCAUUCUCUCCCUUCUUGUAUUAUCUCAUGUUCUUUUUUUUUCCUGCGUGUUCUAUGAUGGACCAUAGUUUCUGCAUGAGCAAGGCAGAUUUAAGUGUUCAAGUAAAGAUAUAUCCUGCUUAUUUUUGCUGCCUCAAAAUGUAGUCACCUUUCAUUGCAAUGUACACCAACUUCCUAUGCAUACUUCAUUUGGGCCUUUGAAGUACUUUAGAAAAGAUUUUAUCAUCUCAAAAGUCGGAUAAUAUGUAGUUGCCAACCUUGCGUAUAAGAAUCUAGUCUUUCAAACCAUUUUGCUUGUUUCCUUUAUUUGCAGCCUUGCCUCCUCCCAACAAGUAGGGAAGACUACUAUUGCUUCUGAUAUUUUCUUUUGUUUUCUGCCCCUACUCCCCUAAUACUUUUUUGGGUUACCUGUGAUUUAAUGAUAAAUUAAUAUUCCAUUGUGCAGGCCUGCAGGGAGCUUUGAUUAUUGGAUUGGACUCACAUAAUACAUGUAUUUUAUGUCAAGGUGAAUAGGUGAUUGCAUAGAUUAACACAAUGUUCAAUCAACUUGAAAAAAGACAUUCUAUAUUGUCAUGAAGCAGGUCAGCUUGUGCAAAACCAAAAAAAGGUUCCAUGAACCUCAGAGCAAUUUUUGUUUUUUCCUCCUUAAAUGUUCACUUCUAUGAUUUCUAUCUUAUACAUGCUUGUGGUAUGCCUUUGAUCCAAGUGUGUGUUUCCAAAAACUUGGAUUCAAAAGCACCAAACUCUAUUCUUGUGCUGUAGUUGUCAACACUUAUACACCCUUAGUUAUUAAAAAAAUGCUUUAAGUUGGUCCUUAUUCCUUGCAGUAAUCUCUAGGAUUAUUGUUCAUCAUAAUUAGGCCAAGAAAAAAACCUAGUAAAUUUCUUUUGUUCCUUACUUUGUGAAGGUAUUUGUUUUCCUCCAUCAUUUCCCCGCAUCAGGAUAUUUUAUAUCAUGCUAAAAAUAGAAAUUACAGGAAAGAUUCAAGUGGAUAUAUUUCCUGUAUAUUUGCCUAUCCAUGAUAUCCUUCCUAAGCCGGGAGUGACUGUGAUCAUGGCAGUGAAGGAGAUAGUAUUUGCAUCAUGGAGUGGCCCAAGACCAUAAAAAAGUAAGGCUUCUCUUAAAUGUGGGUCCAAAUCCUUUUCCACUUGGUAGAAAGCUCUUUUCAUCAUAUAACAGUGUUCUGAGUGCAUGAACUCUGAGGCGAUUAUGGAACAUAUUGGAUCGCCUGUCAUUACUGAUUGCACUUGCUUAGAUUGAUUUUCUUAAAGGAUUGCAUUCCAAUCUUGAGGACUCUCACCCGCUGUUGUCAUAGAGUCUUGGUAGAUAUGUUUUCACCAUUUAACUAGCUUGAUUUUCUUGUUUUAACCGAGGUUGUUUUCACCAUAGCUGACCGGUUCAAACCCAGGAGUUUGAGGUUCGAACCUACGACAUUUCGGCUAUAGAUGGACUACUCUUACCACCUGGGCUGGGGUUACCCCAACUAGCUUGAUUUUCUUAUCGAGAUAUAUUGGUAACCAUUUAACUAGCUUGAUUUUGUGCAUGCCUUGAUGAUGAGAACUGAAUGAAUUGAUUAAUUACAUAAGGUUAUGUCCACGCAAGAAUAGCACCACUUGGGUUCUCCAAAACAAGAAAUUUUUGUGGGUAAACUUAAUACUAAUAAAGUGAUGAACGGUGGAUAGGGAAUUCACGGUGGUAGCGACCGAGGAUGUAAUGGCAACCUACCUUCAAGACGGUUCGUUUAGAAGAAUUGAUAGAGCUUUCAGGAGCAAUAUAUUGUGGAUAGCAAAUUCUUAUCCAUGUUUAGAGAAAAAGCAGAGUAUUUUCCAAGCUGGAAUGUUGAUCCACAAAUGGAUGAUUUUGAAAGAUUUGGAUAAAAGCAACCUUUAUUCGACGAGUACGUAAGAAUGAGUACGACGUUAUAUUAUCCACAGCCGGCACAGGGAUCCUUGGAGACAUUGUGUGGUGAUAAAAAUGGGAGAUAGCAUUGGAAAGGCCGAAAACCCCACGCUAUCGUCCUACGACAAACUUGUCACUAUAACUUGCAACUGCUGAAUUGGAUUUAUUGGUGGUUUCCCUUAUGGGCCCAAAAGGUAUUCAAAAAAGCCUGCCAUGAAUAUCUGCAAUUGUUAUUUUAUGAAUCUGCAUCUAUUACAAUGCAAUAUUUAUUUAUAAACUAAUUUUCGAAUUCACAACCUAAUUAGAAAAUUUUAAUAGUCGAAUGUGAUUCAUGUACCAAAAGUGAAAUUAUUAUUUACAUAAACAUUGUGUUAUAGGAGUGUCGUGAUUGUAGUGUGUGACGAAUAGUGUGAAUGGUUGUUAAUCAUGUUACAUCUGAUUUGAAAUAUAUAUUUAUUACUACCC